rnacentral:rRNA from 1 species
UACGUAGGUGGCAAGCGUUGUCCGGAUUUACUGGGCGUAAAGCGCGGGCAGGCGGUCUGACAAGUCUGAUGUGAAAUCUCCGGGCUUAACCGGGAGAGGCCAUUGGAAACUGACAGGCUGGAGGGCAGUAGAGGUAGGCGGAAUUCCGGGUGGAGUGGUGAAAUGCGUAGAGAUCCGGAGGAACACCAGAGGCGAAGGCGGCCUACUGGGCUGCACCUGACGCUGAGCCGCGAAAGCCAGGGGAGCGAACGGG